rnacentral:rRNA from 1 species
GCGAAAGCCUGAUCCAGCAAUACCGCGUGUGUGAAGAAGGCCUUAGGGUUGUAAAGCACUUUCAAUUGGGAGGAAAACCUGCCGGUCAAUACCCGGUAGCUUGACAUUACCUUUAGAAGAAGCACCGGCUAACUCCGUGCCAGCAGCCGCGGUAAUACGGAGGGUGCGAGCGUUAAUCGGAAUUACUGGGCGUAAAGCGUGCGUAGGCGGUUCGUUAAGUCAGAUGUGAAAGCCCUGGGCUCAACCUGGGAACUGCAUUUGAAACUGGCGGACUAGAGUUUAGUAGAGGGGAGUGGAAUUUCAGGUGUAGCGGUGAAAUGCGUAGAUAUCUGAAGGAACACCAGUGGCGAAGGCGACUCCCUGGACUAGAACUGACGCUGAGGUAC